ACUUGCGGCUGUCUCGUUCCAUGAAACUCACAAGUUAAACGGCCGAACUAGCACAAUUUAUGAGCACGAGCCAAGCUUGACUCGUUCAUACGAUCGAGUCAAACUCUCUUUAUUCGACUAGACCAUUUCGACCCCAAUUAUUGUAAACAACCUAAAACCCAACCUUGGGGUAAUUCACAAGUGCAUAACCCGGGCCCUUUUAAGUCUCGUUGAUAGAGCAACAGGACCCCAAGCGGCUAAGGGUUUCCCUUGACAUUGCUUUGCAGUGAUUUCUCCUCAACUUCUUCAUCACUAAACUUGGAAGGUAGUUUCAGAUUUAUUUGUGCAAACACGGGCUUUAUAUGUUAAUUGUGCACUCGAUCUAUCUGAUUGCUGUGAAUGAGUUAGUUUCAACGCAACCUCUAUCGAUCUAAGAUUCCGUCAUGCCUUGCAGCCAUUCUCAUCUUGUAGCUCCUUAGGAUUUAUUUAUUUAUUUUUGGAAAUUGUUGUUUCUUGAUGAUCACCUGUACAGUUUCUGGCUGAAUUAAUUAACUGAAUGAGGCACAUCUCCAUGCUAAUAUUGAGUCGUUUCGUCUAUUUGGGAAUGCCGAUUUAGGACCAGAUUGGUCAAAAUGUGUAUGUGUAAGCGCAAAUGUAUUUGACUUAUGAUCGUCUGUCAGGAUCUGGGUGAGAUAUGUUUUGGUUUUCAUGUCACAAUAGACGAUUGCAGAGAAACAGACUUGGUUGUAAAGAUAUGAGUCAUUAAGCUUCCGAAUUGAAGUAGCAUUGGUGAUAACCAGUGUUUAGGUUAUAAUUCUGAUCCUAGUUUAAAUUAGCGAGAGGCGUUCCAAAACGAAUAAUGUUUGGACCUAACAUGUAGAUAUUUCCAUCUACAUUGAGUUGGAUCUCACUCUUCAGCGUGUGCUGUGCUCAUGAUGUGUAUAUAUUUUUCAUUUCACCUUGUGCUAAAAUGAUCUCUUAUUUUUAUGCCCCCGUCUGGGGCUCCAUUUUUUCAAAAACUCAAUUUUUUUUAAAAUUCAUUUUCAUCCAUACAUUCUCUAUAAAAUUAUUUUACACAUAAAUCGAAAACUUUACCUUAUUUUUUAACCAUUCUCCGAAAAAUCACUAUGCCAAAAUAUGUUCAGAUAUAUCUGCUCUAAAGGAAUUACUACACAUGCUUGCACGUUUAAAUUGUUUCUCAUGGUUCAGUUUCUGUGAAUGUCAUAAAUAUCUUCACCUUCUGUGUAGUUAUUGUGAUAGAUAGUAUUGGCAUUUCUUUCACCGUCUCUUGUUCAUAAUGAUUAAACCCUCGUGCUAAAAUGGUGUCUUCUUCUCUUAAUUGUGCCAAUGCAAUUACUUGACAAGCUAGCUCUUAUUAGUUGCUUCUUCUAUCUGCAUGCUUUCUUGUUUAAAAAGGUGAGAUUUUGAGGCAUUGGGACUGGAAAGACAGUUUUUAGUAUUCACACUCUAUAUAAGGAUACAAUGUAGGAUAUUUUGGCAAGAUAAGAUAUUUAGAAAUGCCAGAGUAGGCACACAUUACCUAUGUAAUUUCUUCUUAGUUUGAUUGUUGUCUUGAGAACCCUUUUUAUUGCCCUUGAAAUCGACAUUAUACAUUCCUUAAUCUUUUGACCAUUGCUAUCUUACUUUCCACGUGCAAAUUCUCUACAUAAUCCUGAGAAAUGUCAUACUAUUAGCAUCAUUUCGUCUUUGUCUCCACUUCUAAUAUCCCUACACUUUCCCUACUUGACAUGGAGUUUGAUGAAUAUAAAGAUGACUUUCAAGCACUUAAAUAAUUUCCUAUAUUUGGACAAGCAUAGAAUUUGUAUAGAAAAUACUCCCGGGGAGACAGGGAGUCAUAGACUUCAAAAAACAUAACUAUGAUCUCAGUAAGUGGUUGUUGCCUGGAGAGUCAUUGGAUUCCUACUUAAAUAAAUGUGUGAUAAAUAGUGGACGAAAAGCAAUGGUUGCAGUCGCUUAACAACAAAAAGUUUUGUCUGUGUCUGACUUUUACAAACCAACAUUGAUUUACCAUGUAUACUAUAUUUCUUCUCUUUGUUGAUUAGCCACACCAGUAAAAAUCUUGUUCUGAUCUAUUUGACUAGCCAAUAAAUUGAGAAAGUUUGUUGUUUAUGCAGAUGAUUGACGACCAGGACUUGGGCUUCUUUGCCAAUUUUCUUGGCAUCUUUAUAUUUGUGCUGGUGAUUGCUUAUCAUUAUGUGAUGGCUGACCCAAAAUACGAGGGCAACUGAUGUGCUCCUUUUGGUUUCCAUCUGUACUACGAAGUUGAUAUUUUCCUUUUUGUUCUAGUUAUGACUUUCGAGGAUGGGAUAUAUAUUUGAUGUAGCAAGACUUUUCCUGUUACGGUGAAUUUAGUCUUUCUGAUUAUUCAUAAAUACUAUUGGAAGAUAGAACUUUGUUUCGGAAUUUAACUUGUUAUUUAUUUAUAUCAGUUUUUUACAAAUUUAUUCGGAUUUCAAGAGUAGAUGAGCUACAUUUGUGUAUGUUAAAAAUUAAAUCUUGUGUACGCCUAGUGACAAUGUGAAGUUACAGUUGUGAUCUAAACAAAUUAUCGUACUAUCCUUGCUGAAGUUGAAGUGGACAUGGUAGAAAAUCGUAACUGGACUAUUUUUACCAUGGC
rnacentral:lncRNA from 1 species